AGAGUUUGAUCCUGGCUCAGGACGAACGCUGGCGGCACGCUUAACACAUGCAAGUCGAACGAGAGAAGAGGAGCUUGCUUUUCUGAUCUAGUGGCGGACGGGUGAGUAACACGUGAGCAAUCUGCCUUUCAGAGGGGGAUACCGAUUGGAAACGAUCGUUAAUACCGCAUAACAUAAUUGAACCGCAUGAUUUGAUUAUCAAAGAUUUAUCGCUGAAAGAUGAGCUCGCGUCUGAUUAGCUAGUUGGUAAGGUAACGGCUUACCAAGGCGACGAUCAGUAGCCGGACUGAGAGGUUGAUCGGCCACAUUGGGACUGAGACACGGCCCAGACUCCUACGGGAGGCAGCAGUGGGGAAUAUUGCACAAUGGAGGAAACUCUGAUGCAGCGACGCCGCGUGAGGGAAGAAGGUUUUAGGAUUGUAAACCUCUGUCUUCAGGGACGAAAAAAGACGGUACCUGAGGAGGAAGCUCCGGCUAACUACGUGCCAGCAGCCGCGGUAAUACGUAGGGAGCGAGCGUUGUCCGGAAUUACUGGGUGUAAAGGGAGCGUAGGCGGGAUCGCAAGUCAGAUGUGAAAACUAUGGGCUUAACCCAUAAACUGCAUUUGAAACUGUGGUUCUUGAGUGAAGUAGAGGUAAGCGGAAUUCCUAGUGUAGCGGUGAAAUGCGUAGAUAUUAGGAGGAACAUCAGUGGCGAAGGCGGCUUACUGGGCUUUAACUGACGCUGAGGCUCGAAAGCGUGGGGAGCAAACAGGAUUAGAUACCCUGGUAGUCCACGCCGUAAACGAUGAUUACUAGGUGUGGGGGGACUGACCCCUUCCGUGCCGCAGCAAACGCAAUAAGUAAUCCACCUGGGGAGUACGACCGCAAGGUUGAAACUCAAAGGAAUUGACGGGGGCCCGCACAAGCAGUGGAGUAUGUGGAUCAAUUCGAAGCAACGCGAAGAACCUUACCAGGUCUUGACAUCGUAUGCAUAGCUCAGAGAUGAGUGAAAUCUCUUCGGAGACAUAUAGACAGGUGGUGCAUGGUUGUCGUCAGCUCGUGUCGUGAGAUGUUGGGUUAAGUCCCGCAACGAGCGCAACCCUUACUGUUAGUUGCUACGCAAGAGCACUCUAGCAGGACUGCCGUUGACAAAACGGAGGAAGGUGGGGAUGACGUCAAAUCAUCAUGCCCCUUAUGACCUGGGCCUCACACGUACUACAAUGGCUGUCAACAGAGGGAAGCAAAGCUGCGAGGUGGAGCGAACCCCUAAAAGCAGUCUUAGUUCGGAUUGUAGGCUGCAACCCGCCUACAUGAAGUCGGAAUUGCUAGUAAUCGCAGAUCAGCAUGCUGCGGUGAAUACGUUCCCGGGCCUUGUACACACCGCCCGUCACGCCAUGGGAGUCGGUAACACCCGAAGCCUGUAGUCUAACCGCAAGGAGGACGCAGUCGAAGGUGGGAUUGAUGACUGGGGUGAAGUCGUAACAAGGUA
rnacentral:rRNA from 1 species